rnacentral:lncRNA from 1 species
AAAUAAAGGAAAUAAAGUAAAGUAAGUUAAAAUAAAAGAAUAAAAGAAACAAAAGAAGAAAGAAACAGAAUAGCCAAAGACGAAACAGAGAAGAAACUGGGGAGAAAGAAGAAAAAAGAAAGAAAAAGGAAAAAUUGAAGGUUUAAGGUUUAAAGCUUUGAUUGGUAAGUCAAAUUAGCCCUUUUCUCUUAAUUAUAAUGUUUUAAAAGCUUUAAAACAAAGUUUUGAUGGAAUUAAGUUGAUAUUUUGUAAGUUCAUAGGUUUUCAAGUAUAGUUUAUGUUGAACAAAAGAGAUGAAUUAGGGAUUAACUUGAAGGAAUUUUAAGUUAGAAUUGAAAAAGGGAUUAAAUUGUAAAAGAAACUAUAAGUUUUAUGUUUUAGGGACUAAAUUGAGGGAAAUUCGAAAUUAGCAAAAUAUGCUGAAAUUUUGAUAGUUAAAUUUUAGUUUGGAUGAAAUUUGAAUAGAAAUAGAGCGUGAAUUGAAUUAGGAAAGUAAGUGAAUUUAGUUAGGAUUAAAUUGAGAAUUAGGAAGAAAUUGAAUAGAAAUUCAAUUAUUUAUUAUAAUUAGUGCUGUAAUUAAUAUUACAAAUUAUUAUUUUCGUAGCUAACAAAGAACCCGAGGCAUCGGCGUCAAAAGGAAAUGAGAAAGUUAUUGAGGACUAAAACGGGAGAAUAACGGUUUGUAUUACUAUAAUUCAAGUUAUUUAUUAUUAAAUGCUAAAUUUUAAUUUGUGUGUCUAGUAAAUGAAAUGUGAGGUAAGUAUAAUAUUAGUAUUAAUUUAUUAUUAGUAUUAUUAUUAUUAUGAGUGGGAAUUAAAUUGAAUAGUUUAUAUGAAUUAAUAUUUGAAUUGUUUGUUGAUUGAAAGCGGGAAAUAAAUUUGAAUCGAAUUGUGAAUGGUAUUAAAUUGUAUGGAAAUGUAUUGAGUUGUGAAAAUGUGUGAAUUUGUGAAAUAAUUAUUGAUUGAAUGUGGAAAAAUGAUUGAAUUGAAAGUGUGAGAAAUUGUGAUUGAAUUGAGAAUAUAUGUCAUUUAAAUACCCUAUUAACUAGUCGGGCUGAGUCGGAUAUAGUUGGCAUGCCAUCGGAUUGGAAGAGUUCAGGGAUACUUCGACCUCGAGUCGAUGAGACACUGGGUGUCACUAUAUUUCUUCGGAUAGAUUCGAUGAGGUACUGGGUACCAACUUUCUUCGGCUUUGCCGAUGAGACACUGGGUGUCAACUAUUGCUUCGAACUAUCCGAUGAGGCACUGGGUGCCAUUCUGGUGUGUUUGGUUGGAUCCGUGUAUCCGCCAAAGUCCGAGUUUUGUUAAUAGGGUAAAUGAUGAAAUGAUAAACCGAACGAGUUGGUCAAACGAGCUAUUGAAAUGAUAUGAAAAAGUUGAAUUGUGAAUUGAAAUGUGAAAUGAGAUUGAGAAAUGAACCUAAGGUUCGUGAUUUAUUCAAACUCAAAUUGUGGAUAUACGAUAUUGGUUGAUGAAUUGCUAUUGUUGAAAUAUUGAAUUUAAAUUGUAUAUACGAUUUAUGCAUUACAUGUACAUUAUUGUUAUAAUUUGAAUUAUGGUAAUACCACUGAGUAUGAAUUACUCAGCGUACGGUUGUUUCCGUGCGCAGGUCGAUAGAAGUCAAAUGUCCCGGUUCAGCAUCCAGAUUAAUCCCGGCUUCGGCAAAACUUGGUGAUGUAUUUUUCCUUUGGUAAAGGUGGCAUGUACAUAGAUUGUGUAUAAAGGUUAUUAUGUUUUAAUAUAUAAUGGUUAAAAAUGUUAGUAUUAAAAGUUUAUGGAUUUUAAUGAAAGAAGUCUAUCUAUUUUAUCUAAUUAGUACAUUGUUAAAUUUUAAAUUGAUAUUGUGUAGAUUGAG